GCUUAACCGGAGAAGUGCAUCGGAAACCGGGAGGCUUGAGUGCAGAAGAGGACAGUGGAACUCCAUGUGUAGCGGUGAAAUGCGUAGAUAUAUGGAAGAACACCAGUGGCGAAGGCGGCUGUCUGGUCUGUAACUGACGCUGAGGCUCGAAAGCAUGGGUAGCGAACAGGAUUAGAUACCCUGGUAGUCCAUGCCGUAAACGAUGAGUGCUAAGUGUUGGAGGGUUUCCGCCCUUCAGUGCUGCAGCUAACGCAUUAAGCACUCCGCCUGGGGAGUACGACCGCAAGGUUGAAACUCAAAGGAAUUGACGGGGGCCCGCACAAGCGGUGGAGCAUGUGGUUUAAUUCGAUGCUACGCGAAGAACCUUACCGGGUCUUGACAUCUUCUGCCAACCUAAGAGAUUAGGCGUUCCCUUCGGGGACAGAAUGACAGGUGGUGCAUGGUUGUCGUCAGCUCGUGUCGUGAGAUGUUGGGUUAAGUCCCGCAACGAGCGCAACCCUUAUUGUUAGUUGCCAGCAUUCAGUUGGGCACUCUAGCAAGACUGCCGGUGACAAACCGGAGGAAGGUGGGGAUGACGUCAAAUCAUCAUGCCCCUUAUGACCUGGGCUACACACGUGCUACAAUGGACGGUACAACG
rnacentral:rRNA from 1 species